UGCAGUAUAAAAAGUACAUCAUAAAAAGCUCUAUUGGAAUGCUUUUUGUCUUCACAGGCAAUACGCAAAAGAGAUGACCUUCUGAGAAAGUCGGAAGCUGAUUUCCUGCAGGCAAAGAAAAGUAUCAAAGCAAUAGUGGCUGAGGUGGAGCACCUUGGCAAGUGUGGUCAAGAAACUGAAAGCCAGUAUCCAGGACACACAGAAAGAAAGGAAUCAGACAGAGACAGAAACUGCCAUACUGAGAACUGAGAUUCAGCAGCUAAAUCAGGAACUGCAGGGUGUACAUUAGCAGUGCAGAAGAACAGCCCAAGAACUUGCCAGUCAAGAUGAAAAACUUCUUCUAAUGGAAUCCAGCUUGAAAGCAACUCAAGAGCAGCUAAGUGAGCAAAUAGCAGAAACAGUUCACCAAGAACAGAACAGUAGAAAAUCACAGGCAGAGCUGAAUGAAGACCCUGAGAGAACGUAUAAUAGCUUCUGAAGAAGAAAUUAGCGAUUACAAAGACAUCCCAGUGUGCACUGUAUGGAGACACCGAGGCGGAAAUACUUGCAUAGAUUACAAAAGGUUCAUCUUGUUUACAGUUGUCUAACCUCUUACAGAAU
rnacentral:lncRNA from 1 species